rnacentral:rRNA from 1 species
AGACCCGAAACCCGGUGAUCUAGCCAUGGGCAGGUUGAAGGUUGGGUAACACUAACUGGAGGACCGAACCGACUAAUGUUGAAAAAUUAGCGGAUGACCUGUGGCUGGGGGUGAAAGGCCAAUCAAACCGGGAGAUAGCUGGUUCUCCCCGAAAGCUAUUUAGGUAGCGCCUCGUGAACUCAUCUCCGGGGGUAGAGCACUGUUUCGGCUAGGGGGCCAUCCCGGCUUACCAACCCGAUGCAAACUGCGAAUACCGGAGAAUGUUAUCACGGGAGACACACGGCGGGUGCUAACGUCCGUCGUGAAGAGGGAAACAACCCAGACCGCCAGCUAAGGUCCCAAAGUCAUGGUUAAGUGGGAAACGAUGUGGGAAGGCCCAGACAGCCAGGAUGUUGGCUUAGAAGCAGCCAUCAUUUAAAGAAAGCGUAAUAGCUCACUGGUCGAGUCGGCCUGCGCGGAAGAUGUAACGGGGCUAAACCAUGCACCGAAGCUGCGGCAGCGACACUUUAGUGUUGUUGGGUAGGGGAGCGUUCUGUAAGCCGUUGAAGGUGUCCUGUGAGGGGUGCUGG